UUCAUCACAGUUGAUAAAGCUGUCCAGAUCACUUGAAGCACUUGGAAAAGGCCUCAGGGCCCUUCUGGACAUCUUUGAUGACCAGGAAAUACAACUGACGUGCUUGCACAAAGAAAAGCCACAGAUCUCAGAAGUCUGACUUUCUUUAUGAGGGAGGAGCCAGACAACUCUCUGAAGACAUGUCUGGCUGCAGACUCAGAGGAAAUGUUUGUCAAAGGGGUUGAAGUCAUGGAACCGUGGAAUCAAAGGACCCGGUGGAAAAGCGUAAAGAAGCAUCCUGGGCCACGGCCGAUGCGCUAACGCGUCCACUCCCAGCGGAGGAUUGUCCCGCACGCUCAGAGAAAACCACAGAGCGCACUGUGCGUUUCCUCGAGAGGCGAACAGAUCCACCUCUGCUUUGCCGAACCUGCUCCAAAUCUGACUCACCAGAUCGGGAUGAAGGCUCCAAUCUCCGUGUCGAGGACCUCCCCUCGAACAUGAUGU